rnacentral:rRNA from 1 species
AUUGAACGCUGGCGGCAGGCCUAACACAUGCAAGUCGAGCGGAUGAAGGGAGCUUGCUCCUGGAUUCAGCGGCGGACGGGUGAGUAAUGCCUAGGAAUCUGCCUGGUAGUGGGGGAUAACGUCCGGAAACGGGCGCUAAUACCGCAUACGUCCUGAGGGAGAAAGUGGGGGAUCUUCGGACCUCACGCUAUCAGAUGAGCCUAGGUCGGAUUAGCUAGUUGGUGGGGUAAAGGCCUACCAAGGCGACGAUCCGUAACUGGUCUGAGAGGAUGAUCAGUCACACUGGAACUGAGACACGGUCCAGACUCCGACGGGAGGCAGCAGUGGGGAAUAUUGGACAAUGGGCGAAAGCCUGAUCCAGCCAUGCCGCGUGUGUGAAGAAGGUCUUCGGAUGGUAAAGCACUUUAAGUUGGGAGGAAGGGCAGUAAGUUAAUACCUUGCUGUUUUGACGUUACCAACAGAAUAAGCACCGGCUAACUUCGU